UUACGGCCAUAUCACGUUGAAACAUUGGUUCCGGUACAAUCACCGAAAUUAAGUAGCGUUGAGCCUGAUCAGUAUCUAGAUGGGUGACCGCUUGGGACUACAAGGCGCUGUAAG